CCUACGGGAGGCAGCAGUGGGGGAUAUUGCACAAUGGGGGGAACCCUGAUGCAGCGACGCCGCGUGGGUGAAGGAGCGUUUAGGCGCGUAAAGCCCUAUCGGCAGGGAAGAAGAUGACGGUACCUGGCCAAGAAGCCACGGCUAACUACGUGCCAGCAGCCGCGGUAAUACGUAGGGGGCAAGCGUUAUCCGGAUUUACUGGGUGUAAAGGGGGCGCAGACGGCAAUGCAAGCCAGGAGUGAAAGCCCGGGGCACAACCCCGGGACUGCGCUUGGAACUGGAUGGCUGGAGUACAGGAGGGGCAGGCGGAAUUCCUAGUGUAGCGGUGAAAUGCGUAGAUAUUAGGAGGAACACCAGUGGCGAAGGCGGUCUGCUGGACAGCAACUGACGCUGAGGCGCGAAAGCGUGGGUAUCAAACAGGAUUAGAUACCCCUGUAGUC
rnacentral:rRNA from 1 species